AAGGAUGAUCAAAUCCCCGGCCAUGACGCUGUCAGUGAUGGACUUCAGGUCAAUGAUGGUCCUACCGGAGUUUGAAGGCUUCAGUGCCAGCUACCUGCGGCGCAUGGCGCGUGAUGCUAUUGCUGCCUGGGUGCCUCUGCCGCAGCGGCGCAACCUCGACGACUCGCUGGACUACCUAGCUACUCACAUCCUGCCAAAGCUCGAGCGCAAGCUUGACAACCACUCCAGAGUGUUGAAGCAGAUUAAUCUCUACCGAAGUGCCAAGCUUGCAGACGCCAUACCCGAGUAUCUCGACGAAUACAUCAAGCGAAUGUUCGCUACUGUGCCGCUGCAUCAGCUUGACAUCACUGAGCCUGAUGUCGAGGAUCCGGACCUUGAGGACCCUAACCUCCUGGAUGGCUUGGAUGAUGACGACCUCAAGUUAAAGAAAGAAGAUUGCGAUUUGUUUAGUGAUGAUGACAUUGAUUCGCAGAAAGAUGAUUGCGAGUUGUACGAAGAUGAUGACUUCGAGUUGGGCGAGAGCGAACACCACUAGGAUGAGGGUUGUAUUGCGAGUUGUAUGAUGACAAUGUUUUACGUCAUCUUACGACCCAUAGGAUGAUGAUAAUAAUGUCAAGUUGGAAGAGUUGGAUGAGUGUGAUGAUGAGUCGAACAGUGAUUGUAGUAUUGUAAGCCCAUUCCGUACUACUGACAGGCAUGCAACCUUUCUUUGAGCCUAGUCAUAGAAUUAGAAGCACUUCGUCCUGUAUGUCCCUGCGAGGUGGUCUGAGCUACUUAGGCUGCAGAGCACGACUCUAAGGGCACAGCGGAGUCCUUCUCCUCUCGCGACUCCUCUCAUUAUGUCGCUACUCUCAUUAUUGCCCUCAGAUAACUUUAUGCGCCUCUUG